GUGCAGUAUAGGUCAGUGGUAGAGUGCUUGCUUAGUAUUGCAAAACCCUGGGUUCUAUCCCCAGUACUGACC
rnacentral:tRNA from 1 species